GUUUGUCUGCCUCCCACGAGGCAGGGAUGGUUCCAAUGGAACCUUCCAGAGGACUAGGGGGCGUGGCCUGUUAGUACAGGCCAGCCCCCACCCAGGCUCAUUCGGAGCCUGGAAGCUGAAGAGAGAAGACGCAGCGACGACCAGGGAGAAGACAAGAUUGAAGAAAAGGGAAGAAAGAAGAAAAGAGAAGACAGAGUGAAGGCAGACUAAAGAGGACUGAAGAUUGGGAGAAGAUCUGAGUGAAGAGGAGAGUGGAGUGAAGAACUCAAGAAAGAAGACCAGACGAAGCAGAAGGGAAAAAGAAUACCUACAGGAGAUCACAGGUGGGAAGUGAGCUGCUGAGGUUAGCUCCAGCUUGAACUGAUGACAUUUUAGAGGA